GUCAAAGUCAUUCUCCGUCUUUGAUCCGUUGCUGGCGAUGAGCUGCGCUCGCUUUGCGGAGAUGCGCUCUUGUUUUGAAUUUCCAGCUUUUCUGCCUGCUUUUUUCCCCAUCUUUGUGGUUUUAUCUGCCUCUGGUCUUUGAUGAUGGUGAUGUACUGAUGGGGUUUUGGUGUAGAUGUCCUUCCUGUUUGUUUGUUUUCCUUCUAACAGUCAGGACCCUCAGGUCUUUGAUGAUGGUGAUGUACUGAUGGGGUUUUGGUGUGGAAUGUCCUUCCUGUUUGAUAG
rnacentral:lncRNA from 1 species